AACGAACGCUGGCGGCAGGCUUAACACACGCAAGUCGAACGCACCGCAAGGUGAGUGGCAGACGGGUGAGUAACACGUGGGGAUCUGCCCAAUGGUACGGAAUAGCUCCCGGAAACUGGAAUUAAUACCGUAUGUGCCCUUCGGGGGAAAGAUUUAUCGCCAUUGGAUGAACCCGCGUCGGAUUAGCUAGUUGGUGAGGUAAAGGCUCACCAAGGCGACGAUCCGUAGCUGAUCUGAGAGGAUGAUCAGCCACACUGGGACUGAGACACGGCCCAGACUCCUACGGGAGGCAGCAGUGGGGAAUAUUGGACAAUGGGCGCAAGCCUGAUCCAGCCAUGCCGCGUGAGUGAUGAAGGCCUUAGGGUUGUAAAGCUCUUUCGCCGACGAAGAUAAUGACGGUAGUCGGAGAAGAAGCCCCGGCUAACUUCGUGCCAGCAGCCGCAGUAAGAC
rnacentral:rRNA from 1 species